rnacentral:misc_RNA from 1 species
GAUGAAGAACGUAGCGAAAUGCGAUACUUGGUGUGAAUUGCAGAAUCCCGUGAACCAUCGAGUCUUUGAACGCAAGUUCCGCCCGAAGCCAUCAGGUUGAGGGCACGUCUGCCUGGGCGUCACAUAUCGUUGCCCAAUGCCUAUUGCAGUGCAAUAGGAAUUUCUAGGGCGAAUGAUGGCUUCCCGUGAGCGUUGUUGCCUCGCGGUUGGUUGAAAAUCGAGUCCUUGGUAGGGUGUGCCAUGGUAGAUGGUGGUCGAGUUAGAACGAUACCGAUCAUGUGCAUGCUCCCCAAAAUAUGGCCUCUAUGACCCACACGCGUCUUUUGACGCUCAUGACGAGACCUCAGGUCAGGCGGGGCUACCCGCUGAAUUUAAGCAUAUCAAUAAGCGGAGGA